rnacentral:rRNA from 1 species
GUAGGGAAUAUUGCGCAAUGGACGAAAGUCUGACGCAGCGACGCCGCGUGAGUGAUGAAGGCCUUAGGGUCGUAAAGCUCUGUUGAAUGGGAAGAAAAAAAUGACGGUACCAUUCGAGGAAGGACCGGCUAACUUCGUGCCAGCAGCCGCGGUAAUACGAGGGGUCCUAGCGUUGUCCGGAAUCAUUGGGCGUAAAGGGUGUGUAGGUGGCCAUGUAAGUCAGGUGUGAAAGCCUCGGGCUCAACCCGGGAAGUGCACUUGAUACUGCGUGGCUUGAGUACCGAAGAGGGUAGUGGAAUUCCAGGUGUAGUGGUGAAAUACGUAGAUAUCUGGAGGACCACCGGUGGCGGAGGCGGCUACCUGGUCGAGUACUGACACUGAGACACGAAAGCAUGGGGAUCAAACAGGAUUAGAUACCCGGGUAGUCC